AUCCUCAUGCGAAUUAUCAUUGCUUAUGAGUAAAAUAAGUCAACGGAAUGCUUGGUAUCGUUCAAAACAGAUAAAGUUGUAGAAAAAUGUAUGCAAGCAGUUUUGGACCUUAUGGAAGCAACACUUAGGAGCACCAUAUCAGUGUAUGAGUCACUGUAAAACAGAACACAGAAAUACAGAAGCCAUGACAACAAAGAAAGCAGGUCCAAGGAGGAAAAACCUACAUAUCGGCAGGUGGAUCAGAAAAGUUGCAUGGGAAAAGUGGACUAUUGCAUUGGAAGCCUGUAAAGGGCAGGACCACUCUGUCAUCUUAACUAGCUUGGAGCUCUUUCUGAGAUGAAGAGAAUUCUCAAUGUCAAGAUUUGAACAAGAAGAGAAUGGAAUACACAAUAUGGACAUCCAUAAAAAUUCAUCAGAGAGCAUUUUACUACUGAGCUGCAAAGGUAGGAAAAAUAAAUUUUUUUUGGUUAGAAAAUAUACUUCUUUCAUCUGCGUUUCAAUAAUUUAUUCCCCUUGUUAGAUAUACAUGGAAUUGAUAUUGCUUAUUCUGACUAAGUGAAAAGUGUUAUUUCUACUUACUGCUCAAUUAGAAACAUGUAGUGUUUAAUUGUCAGUUUGAAUUUUUCUUUCAUACUAUUACAGUUUAUAUUUUACUAUAGGCAGAAUUUCCUCUUUAUCCUAAAUUUUGAUAUUCUCCAUAAUUUCAUCGUGCCUUGACAUUGCUGUAUAUAAUUUCUAUACAUCAGGAAGGCAAUUCUGUGUGCAUGUGUGUGUGUAUAUAUAUAGUUAGAAGUUAGAAACUGAAACUCUUUUUUGUCUACCAUCAUUUCAUAUUUUUCUUGCUAUUUCAAACCUAUAAUUUUUAAAGAAACGACUAACGUAAUCAUUCAUAGAAUAUGCUGUCAGUAACUUAACAAUAUAAAUGUUAACAUGGAGGCAUUUAGUUCAGCAUUUGCUUUACUUAAUAGAGUGCAGAAAAUGUGGCCCUUUUCUCAGUUAGGGUGUAUGUGAAGAUAAAUUUAGAAUUUCUAGACUAGUAAAUACUUCUCUGAUAAUAACUUAAUUAUAGCUAUUUCAAACCAAAUUGUUUAAUUGUGGUGAAUCAUAUGUAAAUUGUUCAGAUGUAGGUCAACACCCACGCCCACAUUCUAGCACCUCUUUCCUAAUUCAAGACAACUUUGCAGUGCCUAAAAGAGCUGAACAGUGCAGAUUAGAGACAUAAGACAAAAAAAAAAAAAAAA
rnacentral:lncRNA from 1 species